AGUUGGUGAGGUAAAGGCUCACCAAGGCGACGAUCUGUAGCGGGUCUGAGAGGAUGAUCCGCCACACUGGAACUGAGACACGGUCCAGACUCCUACGGGAGGCAGCAGUGGGGAAUUUUGGACAAUGGGGGCAACCCUGAUCCAGCCAUGCCGCGUGAGUGAAGAAGGCCUUCGGGUUGUAAAGCUCUUUCGGCCGGGAAGAAAUCGUAUGGGUUAAUACCCUGUGCGGAUGACGGUACCGGCAUAAGAAGCACCGGCUAACUACGUGCCAGCAGCCGCGGUAAUACGUAGGGUGCGAGCGUUAAUCGGAAUUACUGGGCGUAAAGCGUGCGCAGGCGGUUUUGUAAGACAGGCGUGAAAUCCCCGGGCUCAACCUGGGAACUGCGCUUGUGACUGCAAGGCUAGAGUAUGGCAGAGGGGGGUGGAAUUCCACGUGUAGCAGUGAAAUGCGUAGAGAUGUGGAGGAACACCAAUGGCGAAGGCAGCCCCCUGGGCCAAUACUGACGCUCAUGCACGAAAGCGUGGGUAGCAAACAGGAUUAGAUACCCUGGUAGUCCACGCCCUAAACGAUGUCAACUAGGUGUUGGGUGGGUAAAACCAUUUAGUACCGGAGCUAACGCGUGAAGUUGACCGCCUGGGGAGUACGGCCGCAAGGUUAAAACUCAAAGGAAUUGACGGGGACCCGCACAAGCGGUGGAUGAUGUGGAUUAAUUCGAUGCAACGCGAAAAACCUUACCUACCCUUGACAUGUCCAGGAGCCUGAAGAGAUUUGGGUGUGCCCGAGAGGGAACUGGAACACAGGUGCUGCAUGGCUGUCGUCAGCUCGUGUCGUGAGAUGUUGGGUUAAGUCCCGCAACGAGCGCAACCCUUGUCGUUAAUUGCCAUCAUUUAGUUGGGCACUUUAACGAGACUGCCGGUGACAAACCGGAGGAAGGUGGGGAUGACGUCAAGUCCUCAUGGCCCUUAUGGGUAGGGCUUCACACGUCAUACAAUGGUCGGUACAAAGGGUUGCCAACCCGCGAGGGGGAGCCAAUCCCAGAAAGCCGAUCGUAGUCCGGAUCGCAGGCUGCAACUCGCCUGCGUGAAGUCGGAAUCUCUAGUAAUCGUGGAUCAGCAUGUCACGGUGAAUACGUUCCCGGGUCUUGUACACACCGCCCGUCACACCAUGGGAGCGGGUUCCGCCAGAAGUAGGUAGCCUAACCGCAAGGGGGGCGCUUACCACGGCGGGGUUCGUGACUGGGGUGAAGUCGUAACAAGGUA
rnacentral:rRNA from 1 species